CAAAGUCCAGAGGAUGAGCAUGAUGAGUGGCGUGAUAGUCCCAGUGUUCUGAACAGAGAGAAGCAUUUUAAUUGUUCGUAGAGUAAGAGGCCUGGUCAAACACAUACUGAAUCUAGUUGGGCCGGCACUAUUCACUUCCGUAUAAGUGAUCUUCAAAUUGUUUAUUUCGUCUACAAUUAUGCGAUGGACCAGGUGAGAUGAGGUACCCCUCCAUUCUGUACGGAUGCAACAUGAAGGCUUCUUCUUGAACCGACCUACUUCAGGCACUUAGCUUCAAUUGUUUCUCACACUCUUUCAAAACUUUUCCCGCACCAUUGCACAACGUUUACCAAAUUUCCACUCACCAAACGAAACCCAAAAUGUCUGCCUCUGCCUACACAACUUUAUCCACUUGUAAGCCAAGCUAUUCUCUGGGACUCAAAUUUUGUCUAAGAAAAUAAAAGAAAUUAGCCCUACUCAAUGACUGAAAAUUAAAAGGGAACCUGAUA